rnacentral:lncRNA from 1 species
AUGCGUACAUUCAAAAUUUUCAUAGAGUUAACAAAACACCUUCUGAAAAUGAUAUCUCUACACCUAACCUGCCUCUUGAGAAAUCUAUAUGCAGGCCAGGAAGCAACAGUAAGAACUGGACAUGGAACAACAGACUGGUUCCAAACAGGAAAAGGAGUACAUCAAGGCUGUAUAUUGUCACCCUGCUUAUUUAACUUCUAUGCAGAGUACAUCAUGAGAAACACUGGACUGGAAGAAACACAAGCUGGAAUCAAGAUUGCCGGGAGAAAUAUCAGUAACCUCAGAUAUGCAGAUGACACCACCCUUAUGGCAGAAAGUGAAGAGGAACUAAAAAGCCUCUUGAUGAAGGUAAAAGAGAAGAGUGAAAAAGUUUGCUUAAAGCUCAACAUUCAGAAAACGAAGAUCAUGGCAUCCGGUCCCAUCACUCCAUGGGAAAUAGAUGGGGAAACAGUGUCAGACUUGAUUUUUGGGGGCUCCAAAAUCACUGCAGAUGGUGAUUGCAGCCAUGAAAUUAAAAGAUGCUUACUCCUUGGAAGAAAGGUUGUGACCAACCUAGACAGCAUAUUCAAAGGCAGAGACAUUACUUUGCCGACUAAGGUCCAUCUAGUUAAGGCUAUGAUUUUUCCAGUGGUCAUGUAUGAAUGUGAGAGUUGGACUGUGAAGAAGGCUGAGCACCAAAGAAUUGAUGCUUUUGAACUGUGGAGUUGGAGAAGACUCUUGCAAGUCCCUUGGACUGCAAGGAGAUCAAACCAGUCCAUUCUGAAGGAGAUCAACCCUGGGAUUUCUUUGGAAGGAAUGAUGCUAAAGCUGAAACCCCAAUACUUUGGCCACCUCAUGCGAAGAGUUCACUCAUUGGAAAAGACUUCAAUGCUGGGAGGGAUUGGGGGCAGGAGGAGAAGGGGACGACCGAGGAUGAGAUGGCUGGAUGGCAUCACGGACUCGAUGGACGCGAGUCUGAAUGAACUCUGGGAGUUGGUGAUGGACAGGGAGGCCGGCGUGCUGUGA